GAUGAACGCUGGCGGCGUGCCUAAUACAUGCAAGUCGAGCGAACAGACGAGGAGCUUGCUCCUCUGACGUUAGCGGCGGACGGGUGAGUAACACGUGGAUAACCUACCUAUAAGACUGGGAUAACUUCGGGAAACCGGAGCUAAUACCGGAUAAUAUAUUGAACCGCAUGGUUCAAUAGUGAAAGACGGUUUUGCUGUCACUUAUAGAUUGAUCCGCGCCGCAUUAGCUAGUUGGUAAGGUAACGGCUUACCAAGGCAACGAUGCGUAGCCGACCUGAGAGGGUGAAUGGACAGACUGGCAGUGAGACACGGCCCACACUCCUACGGUGAGACGCAGUAGGGAAUCUUCCGCGAUGGGCCAAUGCCUAACGGAGCAACGCCGCGUGAGUGAUGAAGGUCUUCGGAUCGUAAAACUCUGUUAUUAGGGAAGAACAAAUGUGUAAGUAACUAUGCACGUCUUGACGGUACCUGAUCAGAAAGCCACGGCUAACUACGUG
rnacentral:rRNA from 1 species